AGGUAAGCUACUAAGAGCGAAUGGUGGAUGCCUUGACUGGUAAAGGCGAUGAAGGACGUACUAGACUGCGAUAAGCUACGGGGAGCUGUCAAGAAGCUUUGAUCCGUAGAUUUCCGAAUGGGGCAACCCAAUGUAUAGAGAUAUACAUUACCUAUAUAGGAGCGAACGAGGGGAAUUGAAACAUCUUAGUACCCUCAGGAAAAGAAAUCAAUAGAGAUUGCGUCAGUAGCGGCGAGCGAAAGCGCAAGAGGGCAAACCCAGUGCUUGCACUGGGGGUUGUAGGACUGCAAUGUGCAAGAGGUAAGUUUAGCAGAACAUUCUGGAAAGUAUAACCAUAGAGGGUGAUAGUCCCGUAUGCGAAAAACAAACCUUAGCUAGCAGUAUCCUGAGUAGGGCGGGACACGAGGAAUCCUGUCUGAAUCCGGGUCGACCACGAUCCAACCCUAAAUACUAAUACCAGAUCGAUAGUGCACAAGUACCGUGAGGGAAAGGUGAAAAGAACUGAGGUGAUCAGAGUGAAAUAGAACCUGAAACCAUUUGCUUACAAUCAUUCAGAGCCCUAUGUAGCAAUACAGGGUGAUGGACUGCCUUUUGCAUAAUGAGCCUGCGAGUUGUGGUGUCUGGCAAGGUUAAGCAAACGCGAAGCCGUAGCGAAAGCGAGUCUGAAUAGGGCGCUUAGUCAGAUGCUGCAGACCCGAAACGAAGUGAUCUAUCCAUGAGCAAGUUGAAGCUAGUGUAAGAACUAGUGGAGGACUGAACCCAUAGGCGUUGAAAAGCCCCGGGAUGACUUGUGGAUAGGGGUGAAAGGCCAAUCAAACUUCGUGAUAGCUGGUUCUCUCCGAAAUAUAUUUAGGUAUAGCGUUGUGUCGUAAUAUAAGGGGGUAGAGCACUGAAUGGGCUAGGGCAUACACCAAUGUACCAAACCCUAUCAAACUCCGAAUACCUUAUAUGUAAUCACAGCAGUCAGGCGGCGAGUGAUAAAAUCCGUCGUCAAGAGGGAAACAACCCAGACUACCAGCUAAGGUCCCUAAAUCUUACUUAAGUGGAAAACGAUGUGAAGUUACUUAAACAACC
rnacentral:rRNA from 1 species